ensembl:lincRNA
GAAAGGGCCCUUGGGCUUCCCAGCAGCCAGAGACCAGCAGGGCAGGGCUGGACCCUGAAUAUCAGAACAGCAGCCACUCCUUCCAUCCUCGUGGGUUUCUGGUUUCUCCUGGCCUCGCCCUUUCUUGCCCAAGCCACUGUGACCUCCGUCCCAUCUCAGCAGCUAAACAGUUGAUUCCAUGCCCGUUCCAUUCCAAGGCUAGGCUUCCAGAGGCCCUUGGGUCAGGGGGGUCACUCUGGUCCAGCCAGCUCUGUCUCCACCCCAGUGCAGCCCCCCAGGCGGUGCCAAGGGCAGCUCUUAGAUGCUGGACCUGAGCCAGAGGUCAGGACCAGGCCACAAGGUGGAUGACCGCAGAGUCUGCAGCCGUGUGUUGCUUGGCCGGCAUGGUGUUCGACAAGACAGGAACUGGAAUGUUUUGGGCGCUGGCCAGCAGGUUCGGCUGCCUCUUCUUCAAGGUCUCCGCCUGCCUGGACUUCGAGCAUGUUCAGCACGUGUUCCAUGAGGCGGUGCGGGAAGCGCGGCGGGAGCUGGAGCGGACCCCCCCCCCGGCCCGGCCCCUCUUCAUCGCUGAGGACAGGGCCCCCGUGCACCAGGUGCCGCUCACGGCCCGGCACGGGCUGGCCAGCUGCACUUUCAACACGCUGUCCACCGUCAGCCUGAAGGAGAUGCCCGCCGUGGCUCAGGCCAAGCUGGUCACAGUGAAGUCAUCGCGUGCCCAGAGCAAGCGCAAGGCGCCCACCCUCACCCUCCUAAAGGGCUUCAAGAUCUUCUGAGGCCCAUGCCCCUCCUCGGCAGCCCCGGCAGCAGGACAGCGGCUGGCUUGUGAUGCCGGCCUUUCUCACCGAUGGACUGCUGGCCCCGCCCACUGAUGGACAGCUGAACCUGCCUCUGGCACCAAGCAGAGUCCCCACAUUGAGCCUAAGGCACUGGGUGGGCUGCUGCUGCUUGGUCUCUAUGGUGUCCUUUGCACCUAGGACCCUGGAGGGAAACGGCCAUUGCCACAGCCCAGAGACCUGCCAUAGCAGGAAGAAACUGUGUCCAUUCUGCUGCCGUAACUCUAGCCAGGCUAGCUGUGUCCCAUGGUAGAUGGACAGUUCCCAGAGGCCCCAGGAGGGGCGGCCUAGGGGUCGUGGCGCCACCUGGUGGGAGGCAGAGGCAGCGCAACUGCUUAGAAGUAGGAGCCUGACCCUGCUAUCCUCUUCUGACCUCACAGGAUACGCGGGUAGUGACCCCAGUUUAUUCAAGGAAGAUCUGCUUAAGAUAAUUCUGCGGGGCCGCUGCACAGGCAGGGGCUCCGGGUCGGGUAUUCCCAGCGCUUCCCCUUUCAGGGAGGGGAGAAGAGAACCUCCAGUGGGCUUUCAUCAGGAUUCAGGGUCUUCUUCCCCACUUUGCUAAGGACUGUGUGCACACCCUCAGGACCAGGUCCUCAAGUCUAAUGACCAAGGCUGCAGAACACAGUGUCCUCUCUGGUUUCAGGAGAGCCCACAGAAGGCAGGGUCGCAUGCCACCUGGCAGCCACCAAUGCCGGCUCAGACAGGAACGGUGUAAAGCUUGUAACAGGGUUUGGCCGGACAUGUGACCUUCAGCAACAGAUCUGAGCUUUCAAAGCCCAGUUUUGUUUUCUUCUAGCACUGGGGAUUGAACCCCGGGCCUUCACACUGAGCUAUAUCCUCAGCUAUUUUAUUUUAUUUUGGGAAACUAAGUUGUCUAGGCUGGGCUGAAAACCUGGGAUGCUCCUGCCUCAUCCUCCUAGAGAACUGAAAUUACAGGUGUGUGCCACUGCGCCCAAGCCAAAGUCCACUUUGGUGAGACAGAACCUGAAGUAUGUCGGGCUAAUAGAGCAAAGUUUUGCAUAGAUUCUAUGGUGUCCCCCUUAACAGCUUAUGCCACAACAUCAUGGCUCAGAUGGAGCCGCAGGUUCCUCCCUGCGGUUCCCACUGUUAGCCAGAGGAAGCUUCAGAGGCAGUUGUCUUCCAGCUCUGUUUACCAUGAGCAGGUACAGGAGGAGCCUCUGGCUUCCUGAAGGGCUGGGAAGGGGAUUCUGACUCCAGAAUCCUGCUUCCUUCCAUGUCAGUGCCCCAUUCCAGGAGCUUGGACUCAAAAUCCCCCUAACCCAGCCUUCAACCCAUUCUGUGGAGGGAGAAGCUGAGGCCAGAGGGAGGCUGUGAACCAUUCCAGGCCGCCCGCGGAGUGUCCCUGCCAGGCUUCCCGAGCCCUAGGCUGCUAGGGGUUUUGCACUUUUCUUCAAGCCACUUGUGUGUUUGUGUAUAUGUGCGUGUGUAUCACAGCCACUUGAACAGUCUGUGCACUUCCCACUGCCCACUACCAGAAGCAUUUUUAAUAAAAGAUUUUUUUAACUAUCAGGAGCACUGUUUGACUGCAGUUCAUUGUAUCUGCUGAUAAAAGCAGGCUGCUGGGGGAGG